CCUACGGGUGGCUGCAGUAAGGAAUAUUGGUCAAUGGACGCAAGUCUGAACCAGCCAUGCCGCGUGGAGGAUGAAGGUCCUCGGGAUUGUAAACUUCUUUUAUUUGGGAAGAAACUCCCGAUUUCCAUCGGGAUUGACGGUACCAGAUGAAUAAGCACCGGCUAACUCCGUGCCAGCAGCCGCGGUAAUACGGAGGGUGCAAGCGUUAUGCGGAUUAAGGGGGCGUAAAGGGUGAGGUAGGUCGGUGGUAAAAUCUCCGGGCUUAACCCGGAAACUGCCAUUGUUACUAUUUGUCUUGAAUACUCUGGAGGUGAGCGGAAUAUGUCAUGUAGCGGUGAAAUGCUUAGAUAUGACAUAGAACACCCAUUGCGAAGGCAGCUCACUACGGAAAUAUUGACGCUGAGGCACGAAAGCGUGGGGAUCAAACAGGAUUAGAUACCCUAGUAGUC
rnacentral:rRNA from 1 species